UACGUAGGGUGCGAGCGUUAAUCGGAAUUACUGGGCGUAAAGCGUGCGCAGGCGGUUUUGUUAGCCAGAUGUGAAAGCCCCGGGCUUAACCUGGGAAUGGCAUUUGGGACUGCAAGGCUUGAGUGCGGCAGAGGAGACUGGAAUUCCCGGUGUAGCAGUGAAAUGCGUAGAUAUCGGGAGGAAUACCGAUGGCGAAGGCAGGUCUCUGGGCUGACACUGACGCUCAUGCACGAAAGCGUGGGGAGCAAACAGG
rnacentral:rRNA from 1 species